AGCGAACGUUUGCGGCGGGCCUAACACAUGCAAGUCGAACGGGCAGUCCCUUCGGGGGCUGUCAGUGGCGCACGGGUGCGUAACACGUAGGUAAUCAACCCUCGGGUUCGGGAUAACACUUCGAAAGGGGUGCUAAUACCGGAUGCGACGAGCGUCUCCUCGGAGAUGCACGGGAAAGAUCCGCAAGGGUCGCCCGAGGACGAGCCUGCGGCCCAUCAGCUUGUUGGUGAGGUAAUGGCUCACCAAGGCUAAGACGGGUAGCUGGUCUGAGAGGAUGAUCAGUCACACUGGAACUGAGACACGGUCCAGACUCCUACGGGAGGCAGCAGUGGGGAAUAUUGGUCAGUGGGCGCAAGCCUGAACCAGCGACGCCGCGUGAGUGAUGAAGGCCUCGGUUGUAAG
rnacentral:rRNA from 1 species